UACGGGGGGGGGCAAGCGUUGUUCGGAAUUACUGGGCGUAAAGGGCUCGUAGGUGGUCAACUAAGUCAUACGUGAAAUCCCUCGGCUUAACCGGGGAACUGCGCCUGAUACUGGUUGACUUGAGUUUGGGAGAGGGACGCGGAAUUCCAGGUGUAGCGGUGAAAUGCGUAGAUAUCCGGAGGAACACCGGUGGCGAAGGCGGCAUCCUGGACCGGUAUUGACGCUGAGGCGCGAAAGCCAGGGGAGCAAACGGG
rnacentral:rRNA from 1 species